UCAAGAAACUUCCACAAUGGGCGAAAGCCUGAUGGAGCGACGUCGCGCGAUGGACGAAGUGCUUCGGCACGUAAACAUCUUUUAUGUGGGAUGAAAUUAUUGACAGUACCACAUGAAUAAGGGGCUCCUAACUCUGUGCCAGCAGGAGCGGUAAUACAGAGGCCCCAAGCGUUAUCCGGAAUCACUGGGCGUAAAGGGUGUCGAGGCGGUUGUAUUAGUCGUUCGUAAAAUCUACGAGCUUAACUUGUAGGCGGCGAACGAAACGGUACGACUUGAGGUUUGGAGAGGUGCGUGGAACUCACGGUGUAGGGGUGAAAUCCGUUGAUAUCGUGGGGAACACCAAAGGCGAAGGCAGCGCACUGGCCAAAAUCUGACGCUCACACACGAAAGCUAGGGUAGCGAAGAGGAUUAGAUACCCCUGUAGUCCCUGAGCGGGCUGGCAAGGCGCAU
rnacentral:rRNA from 1 species